rnacentral:misc_RNA from 1 species
AAAUCAGCCAAGCUUGUUCAUUGCGUAAGUCUUCUUUUAAUCUUGUAAUUCUUUUUUUGUCGGCCAUAGAUUCUAUGUAACCAAUUACAGAAUCCUAUAAAUUUGAAUCUUGCACUUUAGGUGUAUAGCAGAAAUUUUCUGCUGAUUUUCCCAGUAUUUUUUUUCCCCUUUGAAAAUACAUCAACUAGUAGAAUUGGAUUAACUUUUGGAUUCUUUAGAUGAGAUUUUCAGACUUUGAUUAUGUAGAUAAAGGGGUUGUCAAAUGUCAA